rnacentral:rRNA from 2 species
UGAUUUUGGUCGCCAACGAGUGGCGGACGGGUGAGUAACACGUAGGUAACCUGCCCAGAAGCGGGGGACAACAUUUGGAAACAGAUGCUAAUACCGCAUAACAGCGUUGUUCGCAUGAACAACGCUUAAAAGAUGGCUUCUCGCUAUCACUUCUGGAUGGACCUGCGGUGCAUUAGCUUGUUGGUGGGGUAACGGCCUACCAAGGCGAUGAUGCAUAGCCGAGUUGAGAGACUGAUCGGCCACAAUGGGACUGAGACACGGCCCAUACUCCUACGGGAGGCAGCAGUAGGGAAUCUUCCACAAUGGGCGCAAGCCUGAUGGAGCAACACCGCGUGAGUGAAGAAGGGUUUCGGCUCGUAAAGCUCUGUUGUUAAAGAAGAACACGUAUGAGAGUAACUGUUCAUACGUUGACGGUAUUUAACCAGAAAGUCACGGCUAACUACGUGCCAGCAGCCGCGGUAAUACGUAGGUGGCAAGCGUUAUCCGGAUUUAUUGGGCGUAAAGAGAGUGCAGGCGGUUUUCUAAGUCUGAUGUGAAAGCCUUCGGCUUAACCGGAGAAGUGCAUCGGAAACUGGAUAACUUGAGUGCAGAAGAGGGUAGUGGAACUCCAUGUGUAGCGGUGGAAUGCGUAGAUAUAUGGAAGAACACCAGUGGCGAAGGCGGCUACCUGGUCUGCAACUGACGCUGAGACUCGAAAGCAUGGGUAGCGAACAGGAUUAGAUACCCUGGUAGUCCAUGCCGUAAACGAUGAGUGCUAGGUGUUGGAGGGUUUCCGCCCUUCAGUGCCGGAGCUAACGCAUUAAGCACUCCGCCUGGGGAGUACGACCGCAAGGUUGAAACUCAAAGGAAUUGACGGGGGCCCGCACAAGCGGUGGAGCAUGUGGUUUAAUUCGAAGCUACGCGAAGAACCUUACCAGGUCUUGACAUCUUGCGCCAACCCUAGAGAUAGGGCGUUUCCUUCGGGAACGCAAUGACAGGUGGUGCAUGGUCGUCGUCAGCUCGUGUCGUGAGAUGUUGGGUUAAGUCCCGCAACGAGCGCAACCCUUGUUACUAGUUGCCAGCAUUAAGUUGGGCACUCUAGUGAGACUGCCGGUGACAAACCGGAGGAAGGUGGGGACGACGUCAGAUCAUCAUGCCCCUUAUGACCUGGGCUACACACGUGCUACAAUGGACGGUACAACGAGUCGCGAACUCGCGAGGGCAAGCAAAUCUCUUAAAACCGUUCUCAGUUCGGACUGCAGGCUGCAACUCGCCUGCACGAAGUCGGAAUCGCUAGUAAUCGCGGAUCAGCAUGCCGCGGUGAAUACGUUCCCGGGCCUUGUACACACCGCCCGUCACACCAUGAGAGU